rnacentral:rRNA from 1 species
UACAGAGGUCUCGAGCGUUAGGCGGAAUCACUGGGCUUAAAGCGUGUGUAGGCGGUUCGUUAAGUCCCUUGUGAAAUCCCACGGCUUAACCGUGGAACUGCUUGGUAUACUGGCGGUCUUGAGCCAGCUAGGGGCUACCGGAACAAAUGGUGGAGCGGUGAAAUGCGUAGAUAUCAUUUGGAACGCCAAUGGUGAAAACAGGUAGCUGGGGCUGUGCUGACGCUGAGACACGAAAGCCAGGGGAGCAAACGGG